rnacentral:rRNA from 1 species
GUACCGGGGCGAGCGUUAUCCGGAUUUACUGGGCGUAAAGAGCGCGUAGGCGGUUCCGUAAGUUGGUUGUGAAAGUUCGAGGCUCAACCUCGAAACUGCGUCCAAUACUGCGGGGCUGGAGUGCAAGAGAGGCAAGUGGAAUUUGCAGUGUAGUAGUGAAAUGCGUAGAUAUUGCAAGGAACACCAGUGGCGAAGGCGGCUUGCUAGCUUGUAACUGACGCUGAGGCGCGAAAGCUAGGGGAGCGAACGGGAUUAGAUACCCCGGUAGUCCUAGCCCUAAACAAUGUUCACUAGGUGUUGGUGGUAUUGACGCCAUCAGUGCCGCAGCUAACGCAUUAAGUGAACCGCCUGGGGAGUACGGCCGCAAGGUUG